rnacentral:rRNA from 1 species
CCUACGGGUGGCAGCAGUGAGGAAUAUUGCUCAAUGGGGGCAACCCUGACGCAGCAACGCCGCGUGAUUGAAGAAUGCCUUCUGGUUGUAAAGAUCUUUAAUCGUGGACAUAUUUUGACGGUACCCUAAUAAUACGCUCCUGCUAACUACGUGCCAGCAGCCGCGGUAAUACGUAGGGAGCAAGCGUUAUCCGGAUUUACUGGGUGUAAAGGGCGUGUAGGCGGGCAUGCAAGUCAGAAGUGAAAUCUGGGGGCUUAACCCCAAAACUGCUUUUGGAACUGGGUGUCUUGAGUGAUGGAGAGGUAGGCGGAAUUCGUAGUGUAGCGGUGAAAUGCGUAGAUAUUAGGAGGAACACCAGUGGCGAAGGCGGCUUACUGGACUGUAACUGACGUUGAGGCUCGAAAGCGUGGGGAGCAAACAGGAUUAGAUACCCGAGUAGUC